AAUAUCAAUGAUGAUUACUGUGAUUUCUUGAUAGGAAGAGUAUGAAACACACAUGAGUACUAAACACUAAGCUGAAAAAUU